GCCCCUGUAGCUCAAUGGUUAGAGCAGCAGACUCAUAAUCUGUUGGUUAUAGGUUCAAAUCCUAUUGGGGGCA
rnacentral:tRNA from 1 species